CGUCAGAAUCAACGCUGGCGGCGUGCCUAACACGAUGCAAGUCGGACGAGAAAGUGGGGGCGACCCUGCGAGUACAGUGGCAGACGGGUGAGUAACACGUGAACAACCUACCCUUGAGUGGGGAAUAACACCGCGAAAGCGGUGCUAAUACCGCAUAAAAUCUUUGAGUUGCAUGACUUAGAGAUCAAAAUCGAGAGGUGCUUGAGGAGGGGUUCGCGGCUGAUUAGCUAGUUGGUGAGGUAACGGCCCACCAAGGCAACGAUCAGUAGCCGGCCUGAGAGGGCGAACGGCCACACUGGAACUGAGACACGGUCCAGACUCCUACGGGAGGCAGCAGUGGGGAAUUUUGCGCAAUGGGCGAAAGCCUGACGCAGCAACGCCGCGUGGAGGAUGAAGGCCUUCGGGUCGUAAACUCCUGUCGAUGGGGACGAAGGCCCAGCAAUGGGCGUGACUGUACCCGUUGAGGAAGCCACGGCUAACUCCGUGCCAGCAGCAGC
rnacentral:rRNA from 1 species